GGGUUUGUGGCUCAGAGGUUGAGUGCUUGCCUACCACGCAUGAGGCUCUGGGUUUGAUCCUCAGCACCA
rnacentral:tRNA from 1 species